CGGGGAAUUUUGGACAAUGGGGGCAACCCUGAUCCAGCAAUGCCGCGUGUGUGAAGAAGGCCUUCGGGUUGUAAAGCACUUUUGUCCGGAAAGAAAACGUCGUGGUUAAUACCCGUGGCGGCUGACGGUACCGGAAGAAUAAGCACCGGCUAACUACGUGCCAGCAGCCGCGGUAAUACGUAGGGUGCAAGCGUUAAUCGGAAUUACUGGGCGUAAAGCGUGCGCAGGCGGUCCGCUAAGACAGAUGUGAAAUCCCCGGGCUUAACCUGGGAACUGCAUUUGUGACUGGCGGGCUAGAGUAUGGCAGAGGGGGGUAGAAUUCCACGUGUAGCAGUGAAAUGCGUAGAGAUGUGGAGGAAUACCGAUGGCGAAGGCAGCCCCCUGGGCCAAUACUGACGCUCAUGCACGAAAGCGUGGGGGAGCAAACAGGAUUAGAUACCCUGGUAGUCCACGCCCUAAACGAUGUCAACUAGUUGUCGGGUCUUCAUUGACUUGGUAACGUAGCUAACGCGUGAAGUUGACCGCCUGGGGAGUACGGUCGCAAGAUU
rnacentral:rRNA from 1 species